GUGCUCACUUUGGCAGCACAUGCACUCAAACUGGGAUGUUGCAGAGAAGAUUAGCAUGGCCCCUGUGCAAGGAUGACAUGCAAAUUCGUGAAGCAUACCAUAUUUUU
ensembl:snRNA U6 U6 spliceosomal RNA